rnacentral:rRNA from 1 species
GGGGAAUAUUGCACAAUGGGGGAAACCCUGAUGCAGCAACGCCGCGUGAGCGAUGAAGGCCUUCGGGUUGUAAAGCUCUGUCUUCGCUGACGAUAAUGACGGUAAGCGAGGAGGAAGCCACGGCUAACUACGUGCCAGCAGCCGCGGUAAUACGUAGGUGGCAAGCGUUGUCCGGAAUUACUGGGCGUAAAGGGUGCGUAGGCGGUUUAUUAAGUGGGAUGUGAAAUACCCGGGCUCAACUCGGGAACUGCAUUCCAAACUGGUAAGCUAGAGUGCAGGAGAGGAAAGUGGAAUUCCCAGUGUAGCGGUGAAAUGCGUAGAGAUUGGGAGGAACACCAGUGGCGAAGGCGACUUUCUGGACUGUAACUGACGCUGAGGCACGAAAGUGUGGGGAGCAAAC